UACGGAGGGUGCGAGCGUUAUCCGGAAUUAUUGGGCUUAAAGGGUGCGUAGGCGGCGCAGUAAGUCAGGUGUGAAAGUUUGCGGCUCAACCGUAAAAUUGCUUUUGAUACUGCUGUGCUAGAAUUAGGAUGAGGUCAGCGGAAUGUGGCAUGUAGCGGUGAAAUGCAUAGAUAUGCCAUAGAACACCAAUUGCGAAGGCAGCUGGCUAGAUCUAUAUUGACGCUGAGGCACGAAAGCGUGGGGAGCGAACAGG
rnacentral:rRNA from 1 species